rnacentral:rRNA from 1 species
CCCUUAGAUGUUCUGGGCCGCACGCGCGCUACACUGAUGCAUUCAACGAGCCUAUCCUUGACCGACAGGUCCGUGUAAUCUUUGAAUCUGCAUCGUGACGGGGAUAGAUUAUUGCAAUUAUUAAUCUUCAACGAGGAAUGCCUAGUAGGCGCAAGUCAUCAGCUUGCGUCGAUUACGUCCCUGCCCUUUGUACACACCGCCCGUCGCUCCUACCGAUUGGGUGUGCUGGUGAAAUGUUCGGAUCGGCCGUUUGUCGCGGUUUCCGCGUCAUGUGGCUGAGAAGUUCAUUAAACCCUCCCACCUAGAGGAAGGAGAAGUCGUAACA